rnacentral:rRNA from 1 species
CCACCUUCGGGUGGGGAUUAGUGGCGAACGGGUGAGUAACACGUGGGCAAUCUGCCCUGCACUCUGGGACAAGCCCUGGAAACGGGGUCUAAUACCGGAUAUGAGCUUCCACCGCAUGGUGGGGGCUGUAAAGCUCCGGCGGUGCAGGAUGAGCCCGCGGCCUAUCAGCUUGUUGGUGAGGUAACGGCUCACCAAGGCGACGACGGGUAGCCGGCCUGAGAGGGCGACCGGCCACACUGGGACUGAGACACGGCCCAGACUCCUACGGGAGGCAGCAGUGGGGAAUAUUGCACAAUGGGCGCAAGCCUGAUGCAGCGACGCCGCGUGAGGGAUGACGGCCUUCGGGUUGUAAACCUCUUUCAGCAGGGAAGAAGCGAAAGUGACGGUACCUGCAGAAGAAGCGCCGGCUAACUACGUGCCAGCAGCCGCGGUAAUACGUAGGGCGCGAGCGUUGUCCGGAAUUAUUGGGCGUAAAGAGCUCGUAGGCGGCUUGUCGCGUCGGUUGUGAAAGCCCGGGGCUUAACCCCGGGUCUGCAGUCGAUACGGGCAGGCUAGAGUUCGGUAGGGGAGAUCGGAAUUCCUGGUGUAGC